rnacentral:rRNA from 1 species
CCCUUAGAUGUUCUGGGCGGCCCGCGCACUACAUUGGCACUAGCAAAGAGAUCCUAGAUUGCAUUCUUUGGGGUAUUCUUCUAAAUGGUGUCGUGACUGGGAUAAAUCCUUGUAAUUAUUGGUUUUGAACGAGGAAUUCCUUGUAAUCGCGGUUUAUCAGCUCGCGUUGAAUGCGUCCCUGCCCUUUGUACACACCGCCCGUCGCUCCUACCGAUGGAUCGUCCGGUGAAGCUCACGGAGUGACUGUUCACGCAACGGUUUACGAAGUGAAAUGGACCUCACGAUUUAGAGGAAGGAGAAGUCGUAACA